rnacentral:rRNA from 1 species
ACGAACGCUGGCGGCGUGCUUAACACAUGCAAGUCGAACGGGUCUGCCCUGUUUUUUGCGGGGUGGGUCAGUGGCGAACGGGUGAGUAACACGUGAGUAACCUGCCCCUCACUUCUGGAUAACCGCUUGAAAGGGUGGCUAAUACGGGGUGUUCUGGCUGUGCCGCAUGGUGUGGCUGGGAAAGAUUCACUUUUGUGGUUUUUUGGUGGGGGAUGGGCUCGCGGCCUAUCAGCUUGUUGGUGGGGUGAUGGCCUGCCAAGGCUUUGACGGGUAGCCGGCCUGAGAGGGUGGGCGGUCACACUGGGACUGAGAUACGGCCCAGACUCCUGCGGGAGGCAGCAGUGGGGGGUAUUGCACAAUGGGCGGAAGCCUGAUGCAGCGACGUCGCGUGAGGGAUGGAGGCCUUCGGGUUGUGAACCUCUUUCGCCGGUGAAGAAGGUCCUGCUCUUUGUGGUGGGGUUGACGGUAGCCGGGUUAUGAAGCGCCGGCUAACUACGUG